rnacentral:rRNA from 1 species
UACGUAGGGAGCAAGCGUUGUCCGGAAUCAUUGGGCGUAAAGCGCACGUAGGCGGCCCUGUAAGUCCGCUGUGAAAGUCAAAGGCUCAACCUUUGAAAGCCGGUGGAUACUGCAGGGCUAGAGUCCGGAAGAGGCGAGUGGAAUUCCUGGUGUAGCGGUGGAAUGCGCAGAUAUCAGGAGGAACACCAAUAGCGAAGGCAGCUCGCUGGGACGGUACUGACGCUAAGGCGCGAAAGCGUGGGGAGCGAACAGG